AUCAAAUACAAAAUACGUUUGCAUUGAAUCUUACACGAUUAACCAGUAGCACAUUGGAAAAAGUUUAAUAUCGACUGCAACUGAUAAACUUUUCUUUAUUCUUUUAACAAACAAAACAAAUCAACGAAACAAUCAAUGUUGUCCUCUAUUUGUUCACUAUAUAUAAGUACCUCUCAAAAAUCAAAUAUGUAUUUUACACGAGUUAUAUAAUUGAACUCACAACUGUAUCUUGUUAAAUAUAGAAGAAAAUAUGUUCGUUUGGAAAUAUGUGCAUGGUAGUUGACUGUUAAUUCAUGUAAAAACGAAACCCUUGCCAUUACAAAGGACGAUCACCUUCGAAAUUGCUAUAUGGUUGUUUUGGUGACCGAUUUCUUUGCAUUGGCAGCCGUAUUAUCCCGCCUUUUGCAUCGAGAUAUGUGGGGAUUUUUAGAUUACCAUUGUUAUGUUCAUGUAUGACUGAUGUUAUCUGUUUUUCAUCUCCACCAUUCCAGUUAAUAAAUUUUUUCUAAUUUUACAAAUAC
rnacentral:sRNA from 1 species